UAUUUGUGGAAAAUCAAAGUUCCUGCUAAAAUAAGAGUCUUCUUGUGGCUAGUGAAUAAAAAGAGCAUUUUGACUAGGGAUGUUUUACUCAAAAAGGGGUGGAAAGGAGAGAAAGAAUGUGUGUUUUGUGGACAAGAUGAAUCAAUUGAUCAUUUGUUGUUCACAUGCUCUAUGACCUCUCUGCUUUGGAGUUUGGUCCGAUGCGUUUGUGGUCUAAAGUCCAGUCCGUUAAGUGUCAAAGAUUGUUUUGGGGGGUGGAUUAAUAAAUUCAAUAAAGAAGACAAGAAAAUGGUGAUGAUAGGGGUUUCUGCUUUAUUCUGGGCAAUUUGGAAAUGUAGAAAUGCAAUUGUCUUUGAGAGAAAAAGGAUUAAUGAUCCUUUCCAGAUAAUCAAACUAAUGGUUCGAUGGUUGCUUGAUUGGUCCAUUUUGCAGACAGAGGAGCCACAAAAAAAAUGCUGGAACUGGGGGCAAGAGUUCUAG
rnacentral:rRNA from 1 species